rnacentral:rRNA from 1 species
UACGUAGGCAGCAAGCGUUGUUCGGAGUUACUGGGCGUAAAGGGUGUGUAGGCGGUUAUUUAAGUUUGGUGUGAAAUCUCCCGGCUCAACCGGGAGGGUGCGCCGAAUACUGAAUGACUUGGAGUGCGGGAGAGGAAAGUGGAAUUCCUGGUGUAGCGGUGAAAUGCGUAGAUAUCAGGAGGAACACCGGUGGUGUAGACGGCUUUCUGGACCGUAACUGACGCUGAGACACGAAAGCGUGGGUAGCAAACAGG